CCUACGGCAUCAGCAGUGGGGAAUAUUGGACAAUGGGCGAAAGCCUGAUCCAGCCAUGCCGCGUGUGUGAAGAAGGCCUUCGGGUUGUAAAGCACUUUCAGUGGGGAAGAAAGCCUUGGGGCUAAUACCCUCGAGGAAGGACAUCACCCACAGAAGAAGCACCGGCUAACUCCGUGCCAGCAGCCGCGGUAAUACGGAGGGUGCGAGCGUUAAUCGGAAUUACCGGGCGUAAAGCGCGCGUAGGCGGUCUGAUAAGCCGGUUGUGAAAGCCCCGGGCUCAACCUGGGAACGGCAUCCGGAACUGUCAGGCUAGAGUGCAGGAGAGGAAGGUAGAAUUCACGGUGUAGCGGUGAAAUGCGUAGAGAUCGGGAGGAAUACCAGUGGCGAAGGCGGCCUUCUGGACUGACACUGACGCUGAGGUGCGAAAGCGUGGGUAGCAAACAGGAUUAGAUACCCCAGUAGUC
rnacentral:rRNA from 1 species